UCACUAUCCUCCACUAGUCCCAGGUUUGACCGUUUCUCAAACCGUGCCUUCCCAUUUAUGCUGCAUCCGCGCCCUGAAUCUGAAAUUGGUCGUCCUGCCACGCCGCCUCACCGCGGUAUAAGGUCGUCCCAUCCUGAAUGGCCGGUGCGCAGACUCAAUUGCGACUUUGAGGCUGUCAGCCGCCACCCGGCAACCUUCCAGUGAACAGGAUUCUGGGUUUCUCAAAGCUGUAAUUGGAUCAAAGCUGAGCUUUCUUUGUCUCCGGCAGCCUUAGCGCAUAAUGGAAAGGAAAUGUUGAAAGCAAGGUUUUUACCUAAGGAGGCUUGCCCGAGAAGCCGACCUGAGGAAAGAAUGAGUGCAAGCAGUUUAUUUGGGCCACUCCAGAGGUGUUAAAGCUCCAGCACUUCGAGCCUGCCUCGUGGGAAAGUCUUAGGCUGAGUCUGUAGGUGUCUGCAGUUAAGAAGCCAGCGGUCUGCAUAUGAUUGCUCAGGGGUGGUGGCUGGGUCCAACAGCAUUCACUACAGGCCUGCCUUGAAUACCACCUAGCGCAGUGCUCCGCAUAUCACAGGUAUGGGAAGCUUUGGAUUCAUAAGCUCAGUAAAUUAAGGAAUUUCACAUUAUGAACUCAAUUUGAGAUGGGUUGGACUGGUGAUACCUGGAAGGGGUAAAUGAGAACCCACUCUGGAGGCACUUUACGCCUGAGGGAGCAUCCACAAAUAAUUUUUCAGGGGCUGGAAACCUAACAAUUUCACUUCCUAGACAACUUGCUAAAAGUCACCUAAAGACAGUCUGGUUACUGCCAAAGAUAUGCUUUCAAAUAAGAUUUGGAUAAAGAAGGGAGGUAGAUGCCUUUUUUCAGCAGUGGAGUGAUGUCUAGACCAGUAGAUGUACGCAUCUAAGUGAAUUCAUCACCAGCAACAAUUUCCAGAAACUUCCUGACCUCCAGAUUGCAGCUUCAUUAGGGGUCCUGGAAGGAAAAGAGAUUCAGAAGGUGCAGAAAAUACUGGAAGAUUAGAAAACUGGUAGAUGAAA
rnacentral:lncRNA from 1 species